AUUAUAUUUUACUUCCAAAUUUGGGAUAUAAAUUAGAUUAGAAGGCAAUACUAUGGAGACAAAGGGGAAAUUAACCUGCUAAGAUGAUGAAUCAAUCAGAAGAGGAAACACAUCAGCUGGAAGGCGUGGAAGACGAAGAAGAGACACUGAAGACUAA